GAUGGAGCCUUGCUGGAGGAAGUGUGUCACUGGGGAUAGGCCUUGAGGUUUUAUAAUCUAACCCUGCUCAGCCACACUCAGUUAAUUCACUCUUACUGCCUCAUCC
rnacentral:miRNA from 1 species